UCCUGAAGGUCUUUUCCAGCCUCAAUGAGCCUGUGAUUCCCUGGUGCUGUGAAGGUCCCUUUGAAUGUCCCACCAUGUCUGGCAGAGCUGUGCCCUCAGCAUCUCCCUGGAUGCAGGUGGCUGUCCACAUCCUGCUGCGUUUGUUGUGAGCCUGAACCGUGGAACACACUCAGGGGGAUCUGCUGUGCCCCACACAGAGGUUGAGAUGUUUUUGGCAGUGGGAAGACCCUGCAAAGCACUGCCUGGCUGCAGCAGAACUGCUCCUGAGUUCAGCAUCAGCAGUCGGUGAGAGAGAGCCGUGAUGGGAAAACAAUGAAGAAUUACAUGAUCAAAGUCUGGCUUGUGGUGUAUUCCAUUUUUCAUUUGUAGAACUGAGCCACUUGGGGAAUGGCAGAGAGUGGAUUCAGUGUCAAAACUACUUAAAACCCCACAAGUUUCUGUUUUGCAAAACCUUGACAGAAGUAGGCACAGUAGGCUCUGUUGUAUUUUUGAUGGAUGGCUGGCAAGAAUUGGAACUAAACAGAUCCUAAGAAUUCUGCAAGUACUAAAGAUGUAUUAUUUUUAGCAAUGAUUUCUUGCUGGUGAACCUCUGGGGCUCUUAAAUAGAAAUUUCAAGAUGGAGCUGGUGCUGUACCUGAUUAUACAGAGCUGCUGCCCCUGUGGAGAUGUGUGGAAUGUCUGGUGUGGAAGGCAUCCCUCAGUCAUAGCUGAUUUCCCUGUCUCCUGUCUGUAUAGCAGGAGAGCGGGUUUGAAACAGCCUUGAGGCAUUCCCUAAGAUACCAUCCAAACAUAUAAUCAAUGGUGUGUUCACAGAGGUAUAAGAAUUCUGGCUCACAAACAGAAAAAAACCCUUACAUAUUCCUAAAUUCUAAAUAUAAGGAUUCUGUAUGGCUGCAUAUGCCUUCAGGAUUUAUGAGUAAUCUUGAUGAAGGUUUUGAGAAUAUUUUCCCAAGUGUUUAAGAGUCCUUUGCAAAGUCCAAAAGAGUCCUGAACUUUCUCUGAGAUCUGUGGACAUAAAGAUUUUUUUUACCUUUGAGGAGUCUUACUGAGAUUAGGGUAACUUGGUGGCUCUCUUCUGAUCAAAGAAAUUGUGUUUGAAUGGAAUAUUGAAGGAUCACAGAAUAUCUGAGGCUGGCAGGAUCUCGCCCUGUUGAACCCCUACAUAAAACAAUUUCAGCCAGAGGGGUUCAGUAGGUUUAUGUUGGCAUCGAAUAUUUCCAAGGAUGAAAACUCCAUGUUCAGCCACUUUCUGCUUAUAACUCACAGAGCUUUGUGCUCUCUGAACAGUGACCUCACACUCCGUGUUGUGUGAGUAAAUCCCUCUGUUUGCACAGGCAGCUGUUAACCUCAGGAUGACGUUUGUCCCCUGGACUUUGUGAUGUGUCUGUGCAGGACAAUUUGCAGGACUAUGGGCCCUCUCUGUACUUUCUGCUUAUCUUGCUCUCUGCCUGGUAUGCCAUCUGCAGAGAGUGAAUAGUGUCAGGUAUCCAUCCUAAUUAUGGGUAUUGUGACUAUAGUGAGGCUGUGGUUUAGAUACUGUAAAGAUGUUGCUCUUAAGCCACUAUCAGUUUUAUUUCUCAUUAUAGUGAGCUGUCCUUUUUGUCUUCAGAGAACAGUGAAGAAACAUUCAUUCCUUCAAAAUGGUGACAUCUGUGAAAGCUGUGGGAGCUCUGCAGAGUUUUGUUUAUGGAAGUUCAACAAUUUCUGCAUCCAGGACUGACAGCCUGACGAGUGUUCACGUAGUCAUUAAGUCCACCAAAAUCCAGAUGUUUAUGUUCUCUCAGAAGCUGCAGCAAUAAAAGAAAAACCUCCCUACAGAACCUGAAAAUGCAGAGCCCUGACCCAAGGCACAAAAGAACAGGAAGCACUGGCAGCAGGAGCUCUCAGGAGCCACAGCUGAAAAAAGCCUGAAUCAGCAGGCAAAACAGAUAAAAUAGUAAAUUGACAUGUUCUGUUGGAAAUUAUAACUUGAAAUUAAAAACAAAUCUGUGACUAGCAGAGAAAGCUGAAACAGAGAUUGGAUGUGUAGGAAAAGAGCUUCAUGCUUCUAGACAGUGUAAUUGAUGUUCCACUUGGGACAGAAUAUCAGUGGAGUCCAGUGGGGACAGCAGCUGUUGGAUAUGACACGUGGUUCUUCUGGCUGAAGGGAAAAUGCUGAAAGGAAAAAAUACUGACUAUAAAACUGUUGGAAAUAAUGAGCAAAGAAAGCUCAUGGGAAAAGUGGCCGAAGAAUUGAGAAGCAAUGCAGGAUAAGGUAACAGAGACAUGCCUGAAAACCUCAUGGUUGAACUGGAAGUUUUUACUAUGCCGGGAAGUCACAGAGGCUUAAAAAAUUAUAUACAUCAGGAAAAUCAGUGAACUCAAAAGGGAUCCAUGAAAAGCAAAGACAGAAGAGAGCUCAUUACCAAAACAGAACCAAGGAAGAACUUGGUGGUGUAUUUCAAAGAAGUUGUGACCAGGCUCGGCUUCACCACAUUUCAAAGGAACUGGGGAACCUGAACCUUUCUUUUGUUCUUUUAUUUCUGUGUUAAGAACAGCAACCAAAAGCACAGGCUGCAUCCAUCAUGCUAAAAAACACAGAGCCAGCACAGUAUGACAGGACAAGAGCUUCAAGAAAUGGGAAGGAACUAAGUGAAUGUUUUUCAAGAAGUGAUUUAGCCUCCAGAAUGGGAGUGUGGAGGCAAAAAUUUGAGGUCUCUGAUAAAGGUCCUGCACACUGGAGUGGUGUCCUUGCUUUGUCCUGGGGCCAGUGUUCUGCAGGGAUACUACAGCAGGUGAAAGGUGCUGUGACUGGAGGAUUUGAAGGAAGGCAAGCUGAAUUUUUAGAGACUGGCUGUUCAUGUUGCUGAUUACCAUGGGGUGAUUAUUCUCCAGGAAAGCCAUCUUCUUUUGCCAUUGAAGAGUUGACUUUCCAGAGUCACCACGUGAAAAGAUGAAAAGAUUUAGAUGGUAGGGCACAUGUGAAAUCUGCAAAGUCCCCAGGAGAAGCAUCAGGAACAGGCACAGAGAUCAGAGUGCUCAGUGAGGGUGAGCAAUGACACAGCUGCCAGGAGGAUGCUCAGGAUCAUUUCUCUGCUGCUGUUUGCCACUGGCAUGGACUGACUCUGGAAUCAGGGUCCAGACUUUAGUACAGGCUCUGCAGUUUGCUAUGGUAUCAAGGGACAGUUGUUGUGAGAUGGCUUUGCAAAGCCAUCCUCUUCUCAUGGAAGAAAGAACUGUCCUGGCAAGGGUAGGGUGAGCUUAGCCCCAGAUCAAUUAACUAAAAUCCAUUCUUGUAACACAGAUGUCAUGGUGAUGCAAAAUCCUGGCAAGUUGGAGGAGCCUUCCUUUUUCCAGGAAACUAUAAGAAGAAGGUGAGGAAUGCAAACUCAAUUGCAAUCCUGGGUUAAUAUACAGCUUUUAGAGCUGGAGACAUCUCAAAGGGGUAAAGAGAAAAGUAGGAGUUUUUUUGAGAGGAGAAGUUGGCACGGGAUGAUAAAACUUAUCUUGUGGCAAAAUUAUGCUGAAAAAUCCUCAAGCAGCAAUCUGUCAUUGCUGGUGUCAGAGAAAGUGCAGAGGCUUUGUGAAGUGGGUACUGCACACUAGCAUUUUUCAGCCAGUUUUAGAUCAUAACCUUUCUGACGUGUAUGAUCUACACAUUACCGUGGAAUUUUAUUCACCCAGCAGGUGAACACAUGGUCAACUUCUCACUAAAGGAAGCCUUCAAUGGUUGUAUUUUCUAUUAAAAUGAUAAACUGAGCAUUGAUUCAGACAGAGGCAGUCCCUCAGCUGUUCUGCUGGGUGUGGGUGUAGAGAGGUGGUGUGUCUGUGCACCACUGUGGGUGGGUGUAUGAGGAAGGUGUGUGGCACCCCAGCUUUCCAAACAUCCCCACCCUGCCAGCUGUGUCUGAGGGAGGGGAAAAACACA